GAGAUAUGAUGAUAUAUUAUUUGGUCCGUGUUUCUGAUUUCACCGUGACCGAUAACUUUUUAACCAAUCUCUGAUCUC
rnacentral:snoRNA from 1 species